GAUGAACGCUGGCGGCGUGCCUAAUACAUGCAAGUCGAGCGAACGGACGAGAAGCUUGCUUCUCUGAUGUUAGCGGCGGACGGGUGAGUAACACGUGGAUAACCUACCUAUAAGACUGGGAUAACUUCGGGAAACCGGAGCUAAUACCGGAUAAUAUUUUGAACCGCAUGGUUCAAAAGUGAAAGACGGUCUUGCUGUCACUUAUAGAUGGAUCCGCGCUGCAUUAGCUAGUUGGUAAGGUAACGGCUUACCAAGGCAACGAUGCAUAGCCGACCUGAGAGGGUGAUAGGCCACACUGGAACUGAGACACGGUCCAGACUCCUACGGGAGGCAGCAGUAGGGAAUCUGCCGCAAUGGGCGAAAGCCUGACGGAGCAACGCCGCGUGAGUGAUGAAGGUCUUCGGAUCGUAAAACUCUGUUAUUAGGGAAGAACAUAUGUGUAAGUAACUGUGCACAGCGUGACGGUACCUAAUCAGAAAGCCACGGCUAACUACGUG
rnacentral:rRNA from 1 species